ensembl:lncRNA
GGGAUUGGAUGGGACGGGGUGUCCUGGCCGGCAGCGGGCAGCAGGUGGCAUUGUAGCCUAGCGAGUGCUGCUGGCAGCAUUGGGGAUGGGGACAACGCGAUCCCCCCUCGGCAGGUGGCACAGAGCCUCAGGCAGCGCCGGGUGGCCUGUAGGGAUGCUCUUUGGCUCUGGCUCCUUCGUGAGGGCAGCAGGGUGAGUGUGGGGGUGAGCAGGGGCACCCUGCUUCUGCCAGCAUCCCGCCUGCCGUGCCUCAAAGAUCCAUCCUGCCAGGUGAAUUGGGACAGCUGGGGAAACUGAGGCAGGGAACGUGCCUGGGAAUGGGCACCACGAAGCUUCUGUCCCCACCCCGUGUCCCCCUGUGGGGACACAGGGCACCACGAGCUGUACCCCAGGACUUUGUGCGGCUGCAUGCCCUGUCUGAUGGGAUGAGAGCCAAUGCUGGAGCAGUUCUUCCUUCUCUCCGAGCUGCUCUGUUGCAUCUUUUAUCAGGCAGGGCUGCUGAGCUCAGGGAAACAGGAGCUGCUCGUGGCUGGGGCGGGCUCCAGAGGAGUUCUGCUGACUGCCCCUGGAUAACAGCAGCAGCAGUAAUAUGGGCACCCUGUGUGCAGGUGGGGGCUGCUGGGUGCCGUUACUGCCGGCUGCCAUAUCUCACCACGGGUGCUGUGAUGAAGAAGCCAGGUGGCGUUAGAAAAUUGGUUCUGGGUUGCUGGGUGCUGUGCUGCCGGUCCCCUUGGCUUCCCCCUUGUCUGCCUGCAGCAUGUUUGGGGUCAAGGUAUUCCUGAAGAGAUGGGCACGGAGCCACUUUUACCUGGGUUGUCCUCUGCUCCCUGAUCAAAGGCUUCAAACUGGCACGAGGCCAUGCUGGUGCCGGUGCUGAAACCCAAAGGUGUUUCUUCCAGCUGAGCACUCCUGAUUCAGCAUUUCAGCUGCCAGCACUUUACAGCAGCUGUGAGAUAACUAGAAGACACAGUGGGGCACUCCUCUUGGCCGGGCAUCUCCUGAUCAGCACGACACAGAGAUAGUGGCUGUGCACUCUCAGCACUCUGGGGAUAGAGGUGGGGUCAGCGAAAGGAUGUGGGGUCGUGGAGGUGGGGAGGGGUCCAGCCCUUAAAUGCUGUGCUUUGCACCCAGGGGGGAACGCCCCAGCAGGGAAGGCUUUGCAGCAGGAAUGUCUGAGAAGUCGGGGAGGAGUCUCUCCCAAAGGGGAAAUUUGGGUGAAGGAGGAAAAAUUUCUUCUCAGAAAGAGUGGUGAGGCAUUGGCACGCGCUGCCCAGGGUGGUGGUGGAGUCACCAUCUCUGGAGGUGUUACAGAACCGUGGAGAUGUGGCACUGAGGGAUGUGGUCGCUGGGCACGGUGGGGGCCCGCUGUCCUCUGCCACGGAGAUCUAGAGGUAAAAGCAUGACAAAGAGGCAUCUGAGCAACACUCUCAGACGUAGGGUCUGGUUUUUGAGUGGUCCUUUGUGGAGCCAGGAGCUGAGCUUCAGGCUGGCAGUGCCCUUCCCUUGUAGCAGAGGUAGGGAACGUGCAGGCUGUGCUGCCGGGAAGAGGUCAGUGUCAGCUCACAGCAGGUGAUAAACAUCUCCUGGACGUUGCCUGUGCCACGUAACCCUGCUGGGGGACGGAGUGCUGCCAGUGCUAUAAACCCCCGUCGGUCUCUGGUGUCAAUAGGCCUUUAUCUCUAAAAGGGAGUCUUAUUAACAGGGAGCGAACUUUGCUGCCUGUGGCGUGCUCUUGAAACCUGCCUUGAGGUUCUUCGUGCCCAAAUGAAAUGGGAGGGUUUGUGAGGAAAAGGAAAGCAGAGCAGGCACUGCUCCGGGAGCAAGAUGAGCACCCACCAACCUCCUGUAUGGCCCAGAGGUUGCACCCAAGCCUGCAAAAUGUUGUGCAGAACCCGUUUGGGCCUUUAAUUAACUCAUGUCUGUCUUUGUGCUCCCUCUGCAGCAAGAUCAGCUGCUGGCUGGCGGCCUGGGAAGGGCGAGGUGUCCAUUUUGCACCCUAUCUGCUUGUGAGGAGUGCUGGCCUGCAACCGGGCCUCUCUGUGCAGCUGCUUCCCUGUGCUGUUUGAGGAAAGGCAGCCCAUUUCUGUCAUGCUCUGAGCUUCUUCCUGUGGUGUGGGCUGCGAAGGGACCACGGAGGGCUGUGAGGGUGUCCCUCCAGGUGAUCUGCAGGUGUGACAUGGCCACCAGGGCCUCCCCUGCCAGCCAGCUCCCCAGGAGCUGUGGUUAGCAGCAGUGUGCCAGCAGGCAGCGAGGCCAGGCUGUGUUGGCAGGCAGGCUGUGGGCUUGGCAGCCUGUCCCGAGGUUUACAGAGCUGCCUGUUGGUUUGUCCCACGUCUCCCUCGGAGGCUGCAGCAGCAGAUGGCACUCUGUGUCCGCGUGCCAUCCCUGUGGGCAGGAGGUGGCCCCUCCAGGGUCAGCGAGGCAUGGAGCAGCUCCCUGACCUCCAGCCCUCUUUCCACAGCAAGACCUGGACUGGGGUGAUGGAAAGAUUUGGGCCUGAUGGAGGAAACGAGGAGGCACUCGGCGCAACGAGCAGCAAAUAUAGAUCAAACAGCAGGAAAUCCGCUCUCUGGCGGCUCAGGAGGGCCACGCAGUGGAAAGCCCUGGUCCAGCAGGAGGUCAUCCAAGACAAACAUGGAGCUGCUUUGUGGGGCGGCCCGGCUGGCGGGCAGGAUGGGCAGGCAUUCUGCUUCACUGCCAUCCCUGCAGGCGGUCAGGGAGGAGGUAUCCCAGCCCGUGGUAGGGAGAAGGAGCCCUUCUCACCAGUGCCUGAAGCGGUCUGCUGGGUUCUGUCAGCAGAAUGAGUUGUUUGCCAGCCUGAGUGGCAUCAGUGCGGAAGCAUAGAAUGGCUCAAGUUGGAAGGGACCUUAAAGAUCAUUGAGCUCCAAGCCUCAGCAGUUCUGCAUGUCCUCCUCAGGGAGGCUGGCUCCAAACACAGCCUGGCUUUGUUCUGUUCCAGUGGGAAUGGUUGUAUGUAUGCAAACUUAGACUUAAAUGUCCCACAGGGACGUGAUGCUCAUACAAGCAACUGCUCACCAAAAUGAACAGAGAGUUGGGUGGUACCUCUUGCAUUGCUGUGGCACCACCAGCACUGAUGUGUAGUGGCUUUUCCCAGGUGGAGAUCAAAGAAGUAGAGAUCGAAGACUCAUGAGCACUCUUGGAUGGCAUGUCCUACUGGCUUCCAGGGGGUAGGAAGGGGCAGAGAUUGAAUUGAGGGGUGUUUCCUCCCCAGUUUCUUUGUUGGAUGAAACUUGGGCUUGCCCAAAUGCUCUUGGACAGUCAUUUGGUAGUCAGUGCGUAACCAUCCUGUCACCCCUACUUGUGUGCCUUGUUUCUGCAGGGUGGGACAGGAGGUUACAGCUAAAAAGGGAUUCACCCCAACAGGGAGAGCAGGCUUUGCAUCUUCAGGCUGUACCUGGGCCUUGAGCCAGCCCCAGGCAAGCUGAUGCCCAAAGAAACUGUGGAUUUGGAUUUCCCAUCCCUGGAGGUGCCCAAGGCCACAGACGGGCCCUGGGCAGUCUGAUUUGGUGGGGGGGCAGCCAGCCCAUGGCAGGGGGUGGGACCGAGUGGGCUUUGAAGUCCCUUCCAACCCAAACCAUUCUGUGGUUCUAUGAUUUCUAACUGGGAAGGUGACAGCUCCCUGGGAACCUGCCUGGGCGUUCACUUGCUCACGGAAACCUUUAUCAAGAGAGUGAAGGUGAUUGUCCGGGCCCCUUGAUGUCCUCGGGAGAUAGCCUGCAGGGAGGCUUUCUGACAGGCUGCGAUCUCAGCUAUUGCCCUUUGACAGCAGCAGAGAUAAAGACGCAUGAACAUCCUGCUCAGGAAACUCCCUCCUCCUCGUGCGUCGGUCCUUGAGUCUGAUAAAUGCAGGUGAGACCUCUGCUCGCCGCAGGCAGCCUGCUGUUUUGCUUCCAGCAAGCAGCUGUGCUACGUCUUGGCAGCACUUUAAGUUUGGAUUACUUAGUGCCCAUUUGUCCCCUGCCUUGGGACGGUCCCUUGUGGUGGUUAGGAGUCUUCUGACUUCCAGCACGAGAGCAUCUGUGGCCGGCUCCUUGCUCAUCUGUUCUUGAGCCAGAGGACAGGGCUGGCACAAACAGCUCUUCUCCCUGCCUGCGCUCCUCGAUGUUGAUUCGAAGUAGUCUUCCUUUGGCCUUGGGUUUCAGAGGGAUGCGUUUCAAAACCAGAAAUAAAUGGGCUUGAAAUACUUCCCAUCAUUUUGUUUUGCGAGAUCUUGACCCUCUGAUAGUGAGAUUAGAAGAAAGAUAACAAAAUCAGCAUUCAGGCUUGGACAACUGUUGUUAAGUAGGCAGCCCACUGAAGUCAGUGCUUCUUGUUUACAAAUGAACUCAUGAAUUUUUAGAUAUUAAUGUAUGAGGGAUUGAGUAAACAACCAUUGUGCCUCUAAGGAAUGAGUCCCAGGCUGUCCUGAGCUGGAAUACUUUGUACUUUCCUGAUUGCCUUCCAAGAAUUUCAAAUUACUUUGUAACAGAAAAACAAGUCUGCUUCACCAGACGUGUGUGAGGUUCUCGGGGCAGCCUUAAUUCAUCGGCACCGGGAUGCGGUUGGUUUGGGUUUUGGGGCAUGGCUGUGUAUCUGGGCGUGGGAUGCUGAGCAUGGAGGUGUUGUAGUGAGAUGUGGAUGGCACUUAGGCCAGCUGAGCCAUAAGGAACCUAUGAAAACUUUGCUGCAGCGUGGAGGUCAAUCUGUAGCCCUGUUGGUCCCCGUUCCCAGCUUGAUGGACACGGGGACGCACCGUACACUGGCCCAUCAAUGUGGCUAGUGGGAGAGGUGAAGGGACUACUGGCAUUCACAUAGCAGGUGAGGGUGAGCAGAGUACCCUGCUCCCCUAACCCACAGCCUUUUGGGAGCAGCUGGGAUACUCUUGGGUAUGGGUACAGAGGAGCAGCCCCAGGGACCAGGUGUUGAAAGGAUGCGUGGCCAGGGACGUUCCCUGUGCUCCAGACCAUGUUAUGAACCCACGGGCUCUCCAGGCUUGCUGAAGCAUUUCAGAACACAGUGGCCCUGGCCACAGGCUUUGGUACCCAUGCAAAUUGCCCCUUAUUUCUGGCUGUCCUAUGCUCAGCAAGUGCUCUUGGGGAGCAGCCAGCCCAUUGCUUUCAACCAAAAAUAACACUUGGGACCGGAGACAGGUAUGCUUGAAUGUCCCUGCCCAUCUGGGCUGCCCCAGUGUCAUGUAACUUAUGUUUGUGCUGUCCUGUCCCACACACCAUGUGGGUGCCUUGGUGAAGCAGGCAGGAUGGGGCUCUCGCUACCUGGGUCGUGCUUGGGUUUGGUUUUAAAGCCAGCAGCCUGGAGCUGUGGAAAGAGUCAUGAAUCCGGGUUACCAAACCAUCUGCUGGCUGCAUUUUAAAAAGCAAUUAAAGCAAAACUGUUUCCAGGCCUUCUGUUUGCAAGAUGUAGUUUAAAGAGAGCUAGCCAAGCCAGGAUUUGCCUGAUCCUGCCACAGCUCCAAGUAUGAGUUAAUUUGAUCUAAUCCCCGUGCUGUGAGGUGAGGAAAUCCCCACUGAGGAAGUGUGCAGGGUAAACAGGACAAAAAACAAAGCCCCAAGCCAGCGCCCGCCUCCAAGGUAGCCUCCUGCCAGCCACCCUGGGGUGCGCGGAGGUGAUGGGGUCACCUUCAGCCUCUCCAGGAUGAUUUCUGGAUGCUAUUUCCCUGGGUAAGUGAGUGUUGUUCCUGGUGAGGAGCGGGCAGGACAAAUGGGGCAAAGCACCCCAGCGAGUAUGGAUGUGGAUCAGCUGCCCAGCCCUGCAUCCUUGGUGAGCUGAGGAUGGGUGUUCCCAUGGUGAGCCCAGGCUGUGGGCUGUGCAGAUGCUGGUCAGGUUGAGUGUCCCCUGUGAGGGUUGUAGGUGUCCCAGCAGUGCUGAGCCCUAUUAUAGGUACCACGAGGUGCAGGGAGCGAGGAGAGGUGAGUACUGCUCCUCUCUGCAAUGAGCUCUGCAUCAUUUUGCUCAGAAAGCUGCUCUUUAGCUGUAGUUCCCCUCUGGGGCAAGAUCCAAGCUCUCUUGUCCAUGUCAGUGACAGAGGGUGAUGGGGCUGACCUCAGCCCUUUCCCAACGUGGUAUUAGCUAAUCCAGCUCCCCAGCGACGCAGCUGUGGGGCUGGUCCAUUGCCAGCCCCAGCCCAUGCCAGCUCUCCUGCAUUUCCACAGAACUGUGAUUGCACCACUGCAGCCUUGCUCAGAGCAAGGUGAGAAGGAAGGAAGUUUGAAACACUAGAGAGUUUCCUUUCAAAUGGGAUUUGCAUCAAAGAAGCCCGUAUUUAGCUUGAUGCAGCUUGGUUUGCUGUAGGGCUGCCAGGAAAUGUUAAAGCAGCACGGUGGGAAGGUUGUUUUGGUGCUGCACAUCUGUCCUGUGUUGUCUGUCCUGGUCGCCCAUGGAGCCGUAUGAGAGCCGGGGUGCACUGGCCUGGAGUAGGGGAGGGAUGUGGGGGGCUGAGGAGUGACAUGCCUGAGCAGCAGCGGGUGCUGAGCUCCUCUGUACCCAUCGGGAUCUCAGGAGGAGGAGUCAAGUCUUGGGGCCGCUACCCAAACCUCUCUGCCUGGGGUUUGGUGAGAGCUGGCUUUCUCUGGGGAUUCCCACCCCAGGCUUGAUGGGUUGGAAAUACUGCAAGAGCAGCCCUUUUUUGUUGUUGUUUUUGUUUUUAUUCUCCUGAUGUUUGUGUCUUUCCACUUCCGUCCCUGGCCAAAGCAUGUGAUGCCAAGGCAAAAGAGGCAGGCACACCCAGCAGGGUAGGGGGAGGAGAGGGGUGCAAGUGCCUUUAAC